rnacentral:rRNA from 1 species
GGGGAAUCUUAGACAAUGGGCGCAAGCCUGAUCUAGCCAUGCCGCGUGAGCGAUGAAGGCCUUAGGGUUGUAAAGCUCUUUCGUGGGGGAAGAUAAUGACUGUACCCCAAGAAGAAGCCCCGGCUAACUCCGUGCCAGCAGCCGCGGUAAUACGGAGGGGGCUAGCGUUGUUCGGAAUUACUGGGCGUAAAGCGCACGUAGGCGGACUGGAAAGUCAGAGGUGAAAUCCCAGGGCUCAACCUUGGAACUGCCUUUGAAACUCCCGGUCUUGAGGUCGAGAGAGGUGAGUGGAAUUCCGAGUGUAGAGGUGAAAUUCGUAGAUAUUCGGAGGAACACCAGUGGCGAAGGCGGCUCACUGGCUCGAUACUGACGCUGAGGUGCGAAAGCGUGGGGAGCAAAC